CCACCCUCAAGCCCUGGCUGCUUGGUGUUGGGGUGUUCUACAGCUUGCUGUAGGCCCCGAAAAUCAGUGGCGGUCUCGCUGGGACCCCGAGCGUAGUAGAUUUCUCUCGCUUAGGGGCGACCAGUGGGUUUCUAGCCGUAAAACCCCCUAUAUUUUAAA
rnacentral:misc_RNA from 1 species